CUCAAUGAUGACCAAACAUUAGCUCUAGUACUGAGUUCAUCAUGACGAAAAACUUACCAAUCACCUUGGAGAACUGAUUU
rfam:Colletotrichum gloeosporioides Nara gc5 unplaced genomic scaffold scaffold475, whole genome shotgun sequence.